GACGAACGCUGGCGGCGUGCCUAAUACAUGCAAGUAGAACGGUGAAGCGAGGAGCUUGCUCGGCUUGGAUGAGUUGCGAAGGGGUGAGUAACGCGUGGGUAACCUGCCUUGUAGCGGGGGAUAACUAGGGGAAACGAUAGCUAAUACCGCAUAACAAUGGAUGACACGUGGCAUGUAGUUGAAAGGGGCAAUUGUUGCACUACAAGAUGGACCUGCGUUGUGUUGGCUUGGAGGUGAGGUAAUGGCGCACCUAGGGGAGGUAACAUAGCCGCCGUGAGAGGGCGGUCAGCCACACUGGGACUGAGACCCGGCACAGUGUCCCUCGGGUAGCAGCCGUAGGGAAUCUUCGGCAAUGGGGGCAACCCUGACCGCGCAACGCCGCGUGAGUGAAGAAGGUUUUCGGAUCCUAAAGCUCUGUUGUCAGUCAAGAACGGGUGUGAGAGUGUAACGUUCACACUGUGACGGUAGCUUACCAGAAAGAGCCGGCUAACUACGUG
rnacentral:rRNA from 1 species